UGAGUGCUAUCCAUGCAGUCUGGUAAUAAUC
rnacentral:piRNA from 1 species